GGCGACUUCGGGAGGCCUCGGCUAGGCUUCGCGCAGCCUCGGCUCGGCUCGGGCAGCCCUCCUCGGGCGGCGCGCUUCGGACUCGGCCCCGGCCUUCGGGCGCCCCCGGCCUGCGCCUUCGGGCGGGCUCGGCGGAGUCCGGAUGGAGGACUCGGACUCGGCCGCCAAGCAGCUGGGCCUGGCCGAGGCGGCGGCGGUGGCGGCCGCGGCCGCUGUGGCGGCGGCGGCCGCGGCCGCGGCGGGAGGCGAGGCAGAGGAGCCGGUGCUCAGCAGAGACGAGGACUCGGAAGAGGACGGGGACUCAGAGGCGGAGCGCGAGACGCGGCGGGUGACGGCCGUGGCGGUGAUGGCCGCCGAGCCUGGGCACAUGGACAUGGGCGCCGAGGCCCUGCCCGGCCCCGACGAGGCCGCCGCGGCCGCCGCCUUCGCAGAGGUGACCACUGUGACGGUGGCUAACGUGGGUGCGUCUGCAGACAAUGUCUUCACCACGUCAGUGGCGAACGCCGCCUCGCUCUCGGGACACGUUCUGUCUGGGAGGACAGCCCUUCAGAUUGGGGACAGCCUGAACACUGAGAAAGCCACGCUGAUUGUCGUGCACACGGAUGGGAGCAUCGUGGAAACCACCGGGCUGAAGGGGCCCGCCGCGCCUCUCACGCCAGGUCCUCAGUCUCCUCCAACUCCUCUGGCUCCUGGCCAAGAAAAAGGUGGCACCAAAUACAACUGGGACCCGUCGGUGUACGACAGCGAGCUGCCCGUGCGGUGCCGGAACAUCAGCGGCACACUGUACAAGAACAGGCUCGGCUCAGGAGGCCGGGGGCGGUGCAUUAAGCAGGGCGAGAACUGGUACAGUCCAACUGAGUUUGAAGCCAUGGCAGGAAGAGCCAGCAGUAAGGACUGGAAGAGGAGCAUUCGCUACGCAGGCAGGCCGCUGCAGUGCCUCAUUCAGGACGGGAUCCUAAACCCACACGCCGCCUCCUGCACCUGUGCCGCCUGCUGCGACGACAUGACCCUGAGCGGCCCCGUCCGGCUCUUCGUCCCCUACAAGAGGCGCAAGAAGGAGAACGAGCUGCCCACCACCCCGGUGAAGAAGGACUCCCCCAAGAACAUCGCGCUGCUUCCCGCCACCGCUGCCACCACCUUCACCGUGACCCCCUCAGGACAGAUCACUACCUCUGGCGCUCUCACCUUUGACCGGGCAUCCACUGUGGAGGCCACCGCCGUGAUCUCGGAGAGUCCGGCCCAGGGUGACGUUUUCGCAGGAGCUACAGUCCAGGAAGCGGGCGUGCAGCCGCCGUGCCGGGUCGGCCACCCGGAGCCCCACUACCCCGGCUACCAGGACAGCUGUCAGAUUGCGCCAUUCCCAGAAGCUGCGCUGCCAACGGCUCAUCCCAAGAUAGUGUUGACAUCCCUGCCAGCCCUGGCCGUCCCGCCCUCUACCCCCACCAAAGGCGUCCCUCCCACGAUGGUCAAUGGGCUGGAGAUGUCGGAGCAGCGGAGCUGGCUGUACCUGGAAGAGAUGGUCAAUUCCUUGCUCAAUACCGCCCAGCAACUGAAGACGCUGUUCGAACAAGCCAAGCAGGCCAGCUCCUACCGGGAGGCCGCUGUGGCCCAGGCCAGAGCUCAGGCCGACGCGGAGCGGAAAGAGGUGUGGGAAGAUAUGCAGAUACAGAAUGACUGUCAUGAAGAAGUUUACACUCACCGUUCCCUAGAAAUAAGAGGCACGCCAUGCCACGCUGGGCCACACUUGGCCACACCGGGCCACGUGAGGAAGUACCAGCAGUCCUGCGUCAACUGUGGCCGGGAGGCCCUGAGCGAGUGCACCGGCUGCCACAAAGUCAACUACUGCUCCACCUUCUGCCAGCGCAAGAGAUCUGCCUUUUCUGGGUAUUUCCUGUGCCGGGACUCUCACAGCCUGUGGGCUCUUGCAUCUGGCUGCCUUCGCCCAGCGUGUUCUCGAGGUUUGUCCAUGUUGGAGCAGGUGGCAGUGCUUCUUUCCUUUUUCUGGCUGCAUGAUCUUCCCCUGGGAGGGUGGACCACGUGUGCCUCCGUGCAGGUGACGGGCAUCUGAGCUGUUUCUCCUCUCUGGUGACUGUGAGUAGUGCUGCUGUGAGCAUUCACAUAGAGGUUUUUGGGUGGAUGUAUGUUUUGUUUUGGCUGGAUACCUAGAGUGGAUUUGCUGGGUCAUAGAGUAAACUAAUGUUUAACUUUAAUAAGAAACUUCCAGACUGUUUUCCAGAGUGGCUGCCCCCCGUUUUACUUUCCCACCAGCAGCAGAUGGGGUCUCCCUGCUUCCUCGCCAACACGUGUUACUGUUUGUGUGAGGACAGCCGUCCCAUGUGUGCAGCGAUGCCACGGGGAGUUGUAAUUUGCAUUGCCUAGUGACAGAUGAUGUUGACUAAUGAUCUGUCCAUGUGCUUAGUAGGCAGUUGAGUAUCUUUUGGGGGGAAAUGUCUAUUCAAAUCUUUCACCCAUUUUUCAGUUGGAUAGUUUCUCUUCUUAUUGAGCAUCAAGAGUUCUGUGCUCCUCUGUCAGGUACGUGGUUUGCAGAUGUUUUCCCCCAGUCUGUGCCGUGUCUCUUUCUUUUCCUAAUAGUGGUUGGUGUUUGCGGGACAGAAGUUUUUAGUUUUGUUGAAGUCCAGAGUUCAUCAGAAUUUUGUUUCAUGGAGAUCACACCGUGGUGUCAGAGCACUUUUGUGUAACUGAAGGUUAGGAAAAUCUCCUGUUUUCUUCUAAAACAUGUACACUUUUAGCUCUUAUAUUUAGGUUUAUGAUCCAUUUUUGGUAAAUUUCUGUGUAUGGUGAGAAACGCCGUGGACUUGGCCCGGUGUGCGUGAAGUUUUACAUACUGCAUGGACGGACAGUCCCCUUUCAGGACUGGAAAGAUCACCAGCACAUGUGCGGGCAGUCAGCGGCCGUCACCGUUCAGGCCGACGAAGUCCACGUCACUGAGAGCGUGAUAGAGAAAGUCAACGUGUGAGAGCUUGCCGGGUCCCCUCUCCGCGGUGCCAUGUACCUGUCGCAGGUGCAGGACCCCUUGAGGACUUUGGGGUUGUUGAGGAGAAGGUGAAGAAACUUGCUGGCCAAGUUAUUAACAGACUUUGAGUGACCUGUCCCUUGGCAAUGAACUCCUGCCGCCAGUAGCCCCGAGGAGCGCGGGGCCGCGUGGGACGGCGGCUCCUCUCGGUGCUCUUUUUUAUCCCUUGGAUCAUGAGUGUCCGUCUCACCCACGGGUGUGUCGUGUUCUGAAACACUCGUGUACAUACACGUGUCUGUCAAUAAAGGGGAUGUCCCCGCUCCGCCCGGACGGGGGUUCCACUCCCGCGUC